GUUUUGAUAGUUAAAAAUAAUAAUAAUUUUGUAAAUUAUAGUUGAAUAUAUAAAUUCUCUAAACU
rnacentral:tRNA from 1 species